rnacentral:rRNA from 1 species
UACGAAGGGGGCUAGCGUUGCUCGGAAUCACUGGGCGUAAAGGGUGCGUAGGCGGGUUUUUAAGUCAGGGGUGAAAUCCUGGAGCUCAACUCCAGAACUGCCUUUGAUACUGAAGAUCUUGAGUCCGGGAGAGGUGAGUGGAACUGCGAGUGUAGAGGUGAAAUUCGUAGAUAUUCGCAAGAACACCAGUGGCGAAGGCGGCUCACUGGCCCGAUACUGACGCUGAGGCACGAAAGCCAGGGGAGCAAACGGG